rnacentral:lncRNA from 1 species
CUGUGCAUCUAGAGGCAACCUGAACAAUCAUUCAUAAUAGAACAUACAUAUCUUUCUGUAGAUGUUUGGGUUAGCUAUUUUUCUGGAAGAUGCUUACAGAAAGAGAAAAGAAGAGAAAAGAAGGAAAGAAGAAAGGAGAAAGGGGAAAGGGGAACAGGGAGGGAAAAAAAAAAAAAAUUGAAAAAAAAAAAAAAGAGAGAGAAAACAAAACAAAACCUUAAGUCACCAUAACAAACUGUUAGGUAAAUCUUAUUUCAAAUUGAUCCAAUGAAGGGAUGGAUUGUAUUUUUGCUUGGGCUUGUGGAUAGUUUUCACUUCAGAAUAAAAGUCAGGAUUCAGUUAUCUUACACAUAAGCAUCUAAUUUCAUGUUUCUAAUGUUUCCUUCUUUGGCCUCCAGUCCUGCUGCAGAAGAUAAAUAUAUAUUUUUUUAAUUCCUGCUACAGAAGAUCCUGGAUCUCCCAUAGGUGCUGCAUCUAAUCAACAUGACAGUUCUGCAUGGGCAUCUUGGUUGUUCACUGCCUGCUAACUAGUACUGGAGCUUACAUGAAGGUAUCCAACACAGAACUCACUGUUGGGUAUGAGAAAGCUGAGAUGAAGAUUCACAGAAGACAAGUAAAAUCAGGAUUUUAUAUUGGAAAUUGAAAAUAAGAAUGACAAGGGAAUGGUGGGAAUGAUGAAUGUAUCAGAAUGUCAGCCCACAAGGUAUGAACAUAAAAAUGGUCUUGUUUUAACACCUUAGUGUUUUUGUUUGGUUGGUUGUUUUGUUGAUGUUGUUUAGAUUGGUUUGCUAGUUAUUUCAGAUCACUUAGGACUGUGUUUUGAAAAAUAUUUGCAUCUAUGCAUAUAUGUCAGUCAUUCCGUAUAAAAAUGAAAAAAAGCAAAGAUCUAAAGACAUUGCUUUGAGAUAAACCCAC